AUACGGAGGAUGCGAGCGUUAUCCGGAUUUAUUGGGUUUAAAGGGAGCGUAGGCGGGAGCUUAAGUCCGCGGUUAAAUGGUGCGGCUCAACCGUGCCCUGCCGUUGAAACUUGGUUUCUUGAGAGGGCAAGAGGCGGGUGGAAUUCAUGGUGUGGCGGGUAAAUGCUUAGAUAUCAUGAAGAACUCCGAUUGCGAAGGCAGUCCGCUGGGGCACGUCUGACGCUGAUGCUCGAUGGUGCGGGAAUCAAACAGGAUUAGAUACCCUGGUAGUCCGCACGGUAAACGAUGAUUACCCGCUGUCGGCGGUAGACAGUCGGCGGCCAAGCGAAAGCGAUAAGUAACCCACCUGGGGAGUACGCCGGCAACGGUGAAACUCAAAUGAAUUGACGGGG
rnacentral:rRNA from 1 species